rnacentral:tRNA from 1 species
GGUCGCUUAGCUCAGUUGGUUAGAGCGUGGUGCUAAUAUCCGAGUUAACUCGUUUACGCCAAGGUCGCGAGUUCGACCCUCGUAGUGACCA